ensembl:lncRNA
CGUUACACAAUCAGUUACUGCUAGCUACCGUUACACAAUCAGUUACUGCUAGCUACCGUUAAACAAUCAGUUACUGCUAGCUACCGUUAAAUAAUCAGUUACUACUAGCUACCGUUAAAUAAUCAGUUACUACUAGCUACCGUUAAAUAAUCAGUUACUACUAGCUACCGUUAAAUAAUCAGUUACUGCUAGCUACCGUUAAAUAAACAUUUACUGCUAGCUACCGUUAAAUAAUCAGUUACUGCUAGCUACCGUUAAAUAAUCAGUUACUGCUAGCUACCGUUAACCCUCCCGUUGUCUCGGCGGGUCAGAGUGACCCGGGCAGGGUUACGAGUUGAUCCCCGUGUCUGUGUGGGUCAGAGUGACCCCGGGCAGCGUUAUGAGUUGAUCACCCGUGUCUGUGUGGGUCAGAGAGACCCUGGCAGCCUUAAAUAAUCAGUUACUACUAGCUACCGUUAAAUAAUCAGUUACUACUAGCUACCGUUAAAUAAUCAGUUACUACUAGCUACCGUUAAAUAAUCAGUUACUACUAGCUACCGUUAAAUAAUCAAUUACUACUAGCUACCGUUAAAUAAUGAAUUAGGAAUAUUAUCCAACAGUGAAUUAUUAGGUAAAUUAAUCAAUUCUUAAUUUUAAAAAAACAAACAGGCAUAGGUGGUUUACAAUCUACUCCUAAUGUAAUCUACUCCUAAUGUAAUCUACUCCUAAUGUAGUCUACUCCUAAUGUAUCUACUCCUAAUCUACUCCUAAUGUAAUCUACUCCUAAUGUAAUCUACUCCUAAUGUAGUCUACUCCUAAUGUAGUCUACUCCUAAUGUAGUAACUCCUAAUCUACUCCUAAUGUAGUAACUCCUAAUCUACUCUAAUGUAGUCUACUCCUAAUCUACUCCUAAUGUAAUCUACUCUAAUGUAGUCUACUCCUAAUGUAAUCUACUCCUAAUGUAAUCUACUCCUAAUGUAAUCUACUCCUAAUGUAGUCUACUCCUAAUGUAGUCUACUCCUAAUGUAGUCUACUCCUAAUGUAUCUACUCCUAAUCUACUCCUAAUGUAAUCUACUCCUAAUGUAAUCUACUCCUAAUGUAGUCUACUCCUAAUGUAGUAACUCCUAAUCUACUCCUAAUGUAGUAACUCCUAAUCUACUCCUAAUGUAGUCUACUCCUAAUCUACUCCUAAUGUAAUCUACUCCUAAUGUAGUCUACUCUAAUGUAGUCUACUCCUAAUGUAGUCUACUCCUAAUGUAGUAACUCCUAAUGUAGUACCUCCUAGUCUACUCCUAAUGUAGUAACUCCUAAUCUACUCCUAAUGUAAUCUACUCCUAAUGUAAUCUACUCCUAAUGUAGUCUACUCCUAAUGUAGUCUACUCCUAAUGUAGUCUACUCCUAAUGUAAUCUACUCCUAAUGUAGUCUACUCCUAAUGUAGUCUACUCCUAAUGUAAUCUACUCCUAAUGUAGUCUACUCCUAAUGUAGUCUACUCCUAAUGUAAUCUACUCCUAAUGUAGUCUACUCCUAAUGUAAUCUACUCCUAAUGUAGUCUACUCCUAAUGUAAUCUACUCCUAAUGUAGUCUACUCCUAAUGUAGUCUACUCUAAUGUAGUCUACUCCUAAUGUAAUCUACUCCUAAUGUAGUCUACUCCUAAUGUAAUCUACUCCUAAUGUAAUCUACUCCUAAUGUAGUAACUCCUAAUCUACUCCUAAUGUAGUAACUCCUAAUCUACUCCUAA